AAAGAGAGAAGAGCUGGUCCUGACAAGUCAUCUACUAACUAAAGCUACUUAACAAAAAAGUAUUUCAAGUCAAACAACAUCUAAUUUCUUCAGGUGAGAGUGAGAGGAGGGUUUCCGGCCCAUUUGCAGUUGAGAGUCACAUCAGAGUCAACAUCUACGGUUUUUGGCUGCGGCUCCACCAACAGAAUCGGACCGACUGGAGACACAGAAACACAGAAAGAGAUGUUCUUUGUUGUGCCUGAGUAAUAAUGCAGUAGGACUAAAGGGAAGACCCUGCUCGGAGGAAAAAGAAACACAACAGUGGAGUGUUUCAUCCCUCUGACUGGAGAGUAAAGCGAGUGAAGUGGACCACAAGUGACUGAACAAGCGUUGAAGACCAGACAGGAGACAGGCUCGGUGAAAAAGGAGUGGUCUGCUUUGGUGGUGAACACACUCUCCCUGGCACCCUGCAGUACCACGCCUCCCUUAGCCCACCUGGGGUGACAGCACACCGUGUUACAGCCAAAAAAAAACAUGUUCACGCAUCCUGGAAGAACACUUCUUACAUCACUGGAAAGUAGAGCCUGGCUAAUAUGAGGGAAAUGCAAUAUUAAUGGAACA